rfam:Rhizobium freirei PRF 81 Cont675, whole genome shotgun sequence.
GAAAGCCGGAUGCGGGAAAUCCGCACGUCCGGUUUGAUGAGCGGGGAAAGGAAACGGAGCGAGCCUCGCAAGGGCCAGCCACCGCGCCUUUCCUCGACUCUAC